AUUGAACGCUGGCGGCAUGCCUUACACGUGCAAGUCGAACGGCAGCACGGGAGCAAUCCUGGUGGCGAGUGGCGAACGGGUGAGUAAUGUAUCGGAACGUGCCCAGUCGUGGGGGAUAACGUAGCGAAAGCUACGCUAAUACCGCAUACGAUCUAUGGAUGAAAGCGGGGGACCGUAAGGCCUCGCGCGAUUGGAGCGGCCGAUAUCAGAUUAGGUAGUUGGUGGGGUAAAGGCCUACCAAGCCGACGAUCUGUAGCUGGUCUGAGAGGACGACCAGCAACACUGGGACUGAGACACGGCCCAGACUCCUACGGGAGGCAGCAGUGGGGAAUUUUGGACAAUGGGCGCAAGCCUGAUCCAGCAAUGCCGCGUGCAGGAUGAAGGCCUUCGGGUUGUAAACUGCUUUUGUACGGAGCGAAAAGGCUCUCUCUAAUACAGGGGGCUCAUGACGGUACCGUAAGAAUAAGCACCGGCUAACUACGUGCCAGCAGCCGCAGUAA
rnacentral:rRNA from 1 species